rnacentral:rRNA from 1 species
AGUCGAGCGAUGAGGCUCCCUUCGGGGAGUACAUCAGCGGCAGACGGGUGAGUAACACGUAGAUAACCUGCCCUCAAGACGGGGACAACCGGUGGAAACAGCGGCUAAUACCCGAUAUGCUCACAGGAUCGGGAGAUCGAGUGAGGAAAGCGCCCCUUCGGGGGAGAGUGUUUGAGGAGGGAUCUGCGGCCCAUCAGCUAGUUGGUGAGGUAACGGCUCACCAAGGCGAAGACGGGUAGGGGGUGUGAGAGCAUGGCCCCCCACAAUGGGACUGAGACACGGCCCAUACUCCUACGGGAGGCAGCAGCGGGGAAUAUUGCGCAAUGGACGGAAGUCAGACGCAGCGACGCCGCGUGGGUGAGGAAGGCCUUCGGGUUGUAAAGCCCUUUUCAGGGGAGCGAGAAAGGACGGUACCCUUGGAAUAAGCGUCGGCUAACUACGUGCCAGCAGCCGCGGUAAGACGUAGGACGCAAGCGUUAUCCGGAUUUACUGGGCGUAAAGCGCCUGUAGGCGGUCAAGUAAGUCGGAUGUGAAAGCCCCGUACUCAACGCGGGGAAGCCAUUCGAUACUGCGUGACUAGAGAACGGCAGAGGGAAACGGAAUUUCUGGUGUAGCGGUAAAAUGCGCAGAGAUCAGAAAGAACACCGAUGGCGAAGGCAGUUUCCUAGGCCGCAUCUGACGCUGAGAGGCGAAAGCUAGGGGAGCAAACAGGAUUAGAGACCCUGGUAGUCCUAGCUGUAAACG